AUUGAACGCUGGCGGCAUGCUUUACACAUGCAAGUCGAGCGGCAGCGCGGGGGCAACCCUGGCGGCGAGCGGCGGACGGGUGAGUAAUGCAUCGGAACGUAUCCCGUAGUGGGGGACAACCCAGCGAAAGCUGGGCUAAUACCGCAUAUGCUCUACGGAGGAAAGCGGGGGACCGUAAGGCCUCGCGCUAUUGGAGCGGCCGAUGUCUGAUUAGCUAGUUGGCGGGGUAAGAGCCCACCAAGGCGACGAUCAGUAGCUGGUCUGAGAGGACGAGCAGCCACACUGGGACUGAGACACGGCCCAGACUCCUACGGGAGGCAGCAGUGGGGAAUUUUGGACAAUGGGCGCAAGCCUGAUCCAGCCAUGCCGCGUGCGGGAAGAAGGCCUUCGGGUUGUAAACCGCUUUUGGCAGGAACGAAACGGCGCAGGCCAAUACCUUGCGCUAAUGACGGUACCUGCAGAAUAAGCACCGGCUAACUACGUGCCAGCAGCCGCGGUAACAC
rnacentral:rRNA from 1 species